rnacentral:snRNA from 1 species
AUCUUUGCGCUUGGGUCAAUGACGCAGUUAGUGACUUCAAACCGAGACGCGUCAAUUGCUGGUUGAAAACUAUUUCCAUUUCCAUUUGCAUCCCGUACUUCUCUGCGAAAUAUUGCAGAGAGCUGUACAAACGA